UACGGAGGGUGCAAGCGUUGUUCGGAAUCACUGGGCGUAAAGGGCGUGUAGGCGGCCUGUUAAGUCUGAUGUGAAAUCCCCUCGCUCAACGAGGGAACUGCGUCGGAAACUGGCAGGCUCGAGUACCGGAGAGGAAGGUGGAAUUCCCGGUGUAGUGGUGAAAUGCGUAGAUAUCGGGAGGAAUACCAGUGGCGCAAGCGGCGCCCUGGCCGUGACCUGACACUGAGCCACGACGGCGUGGGGAGCAAACGGG
rnacentral:rRNA from 1 species